rnacentral:lncRNA from 1 species
CUUGAACUACUAUAAUUUUAGUUAGUCAAAGUUUUUUUCCUUGUCAUAAUCAUUAUGGUUUGAAAAAACCCAUCCUGUUUUUUUUUUUUUUUAAACAUGCAGACCGGAUUAACCUAACUAAUUGUAAACCACCUAGACCAGCCCCAAAUCAAUUCAAAUCGAUUAAACCACACAUAACAUAACCAGCAGAAGACUUAAGCACCAUCCAUGAAAAUAAUUCCAUUAAACCAACAAAUUCAACAAAACAUUAUUCCAGAAACAUAAGCACCCUAACAUGCUUUUAAAUUCCGUUCUAACACCCUAACAAAUCCAACAAUAAUCUAA